AUGGGCUCUCCCGACGCCGGAAACUGCCUCUCCAAGCGGCGGAAGACCACCGCAGACGGCGCCGCCGCCGGCAUUGAGAUCCUGAAACCGCUUCCACCACGCGACAUCGACCCCAAAAGCGAAGAAGACGUGGCCGCCGUGGAAUCCAUUCUGAAUUACAAAUUCAAGGACAGCAGCCUCCUUCUACAGGCCUUGACCCACUGUUCGUGCGCCGAUUGGCCCUCUUACCAGUGCCUGGAGUUCGUCGGCGACGCAGUCCUGUGCAUCGCCUUCACCAAAUUUCUCUUCCUAUCCUAUCCUUACCUCGAGCCCGGCCGCCUCUCCCAGGUCCGCGCCGCCAAUAUCAGCACCGAGAAGCUUGCCCGCGCCGCCGUCCGCCACCACUUCCACCGCCACAUUCGCCUCAGCGCGCCUUCCGUCGAGGCCAAUAUGGAAGAAUUUGCGAAAAGAGUUCAAAAUGAAAGCGACACGUUGUCGUACGGAGGAAGUACCAAGGCGCCCAAGCAAUUAGCAAACAUUGUCGAGUCUGUUGCUGCAGCUGUUUAUAUUGAUUGUGAUUUUGAUUUAGAAACCUUUUGGACGGUUUUUAGGGGGGUUUUAGAACCAGUUGCUAUGCUUGACGAUUUAAAGCAGCACCCGCAGCCAGUGACUAUGCUGUAUGAGUUCUGCCAGAAGAAUGGAAGCAUGCUUGAAUUCGAGUAUGGGAGGAAGGAUUUGAAGAAUGUCGCCAGCGUGGUUAUUGAUGGAAAGUUCGUUGCUUCGGGUAUUUCAUCUCAGAAGGAGAUUGCAAAGAUCAAUGCCGCAAAAGAAGCUCUGCAGACGCUUCCGGAGUUUCAGAAUUGGAGGAAAAUGGUGAAUGGAGAUCCUUUCGGUUCGCUGAAUAAAGUUGGAGAGAUUGAGAAGGCGAAGCAGAAGCUAAAUGAGUUAUGUGAGAAAAAGCGAAUGCGCAAGCCAGUUUUCAGGGUUGAAGAGGAAUUUGGACCUGCCCACGACAAGAGAUUUGUUUGUGCUGUUGAAAUGGAAACUACAAGUGGCAUAUUGGUUAUAAUAGGAGAUGCAAGGUCAAGGAUUAAAGACGCAGAGAACUGUGCUGCCUCCAUGAUGCUCCUGCGUCUGCAGAACACUAUAUUUGAGUAGGAAGGAUAGGAGGUUUGGGUUUCCAAACACCACAAGCAUGGGUUGAGGAUUCCUGUAGGAUUUUGUGUUCGGUAUGCUGUGGACGUAGGGAUAAAAUUGGAGUCAAAUCUCCUAGCCAGUUAGGGAACAGAGACCGACCGGGUGAUAGAGCUCCGUGAUAGUAGGAAGCUGGAGCCCUGAGAUACAGGGUGAGUUUGGACUAGGGAAGUGUGAUUCCCUAGGGUUGUAUUGUUUUUGGGUAUGAGAGUAUUGUGUAUGUGUGUAUAUUGAUACUCUGGGUAUUGUAUUCUGACUGAUAUGUAUAUAUUGUCUUCCGAUGUUAGAUUGUAUAAUAAAAUAACUUUUUACCCGGUACCCAAUGCAGGUCGGGUCGUAUGAAUGAUAUUAAGAUUGUUGA